UACGUAAGGUGCAAGCGUUUAAUCGGAAUUACUGGGCGUAAAGCGUGCGCAGGCGGCUUUGCAAGACAGAUGUGAAAUCCCCGGGCUCAACCUGGGAACUGCAUUUGUGACUGUAGAGCUGGAGUGCGGCAGAGGGGGAUGGAAUUCCGCGUGUAGCAGUGAAAUGCGUAGAUAUGCGGAGGAACACCGAUGGCGAAGGCAAUCCCCUGGGCCUGCACUGACGCUCAUGCACGAAAGCGUGGGGAGCAAACAGG
rnacentral:rRNA from 1 species